rnacentral:rRNA from 1 species
AACCUCCGCAAUGUGAGAAAUCGCGACGGGGGGAUCCCAAGUGCCAUUCUUAACGGGAUGGCUUUUUUUUAGUGUAAAGAGCUUUUGGAAUAAGGGCUGGGCAAGACCGGUGCCAGCCGCCGCGGUAACACCGGCAGCUCUAGUGGUAGCAGUUUUUAUUGGGCCUAAAGCGUCCGUAGCCGGUUUAAUAAGUCUCUGGUGAAAUCCUGUAGCUUAACUGUGGGAAUAGCUGGAGAUACUAUUAGACUUGAGACCGGGAGAGGUUAGAGGUACUCCCAGGGUAGAGGUGAAAUUCUGUAAUCCUGGGAGGACCGCCUGUUGCGAAGGCGUCUAACUGGAACGGUUCUGACGGUGAGGGACGAAAGUUAGGGGCGCGAACCGGAUUAGAUACCCGGGUAGUCCUAACUGUAAACGAUGCGGACUUGGUGUUGGGAUGGCUUUGAGCUGCUCCAGUGCCGAAGGGAAGCUGUUAAGUCCGCCGCCUGGGAAGUACGGUCGCAAGACUGAAACUUAAGGAAUU